CCUACGGGUGGCAGCAGUGGGGAAUAUUGCACAAUGGGGGGAACCCUGAUGCAGCGACGCCGCGUGAGUGAAGAAGUAUUUCGGUAUGUAAAGCUCUAUCAGCAGGGAAGAAGAUGACGGUACCUGACUACGAAUCCCCGGCUAACUACGUGCCAGCAGCCGCGGUAAUACGGAGGGGCAAGCGUUAUCCGGAUUUACUGGGUGUAAAGGGAGCGUAGACGGGAGGGCAAGUCUGGCGUGAAGGCCCGGGGCCCAACCCCGGGACUGCUGUGGAAACUGCCAGGCUAGAGUGCGGGAGAGGUAAGCGGAAUGCGUGGUGUAGCGGUGAAAUGCGUAGAUAUUGGGAGGAACACCAGUGGCGAAGGCGGCUUGCUGGACAGUAACUGACGUUGAGGCUCGAAAGCGUGGGGAGCGAACAGGAUUAGAUACCCCUGUAGUC
rnacentral:rRNA from 1 species